AACAAACGCUGGCGGCGUGCCUAAUACAUGCAAGUCGAACGGGGAAAGCUUUCGGGUGAGUACUAGUGGCGCACGGGUGAGUAACGCGUGGAUAAUCUGCCUUAGAGUGGGGGAUAACUAGUCGAAAGAUUAGCUAAUACCGCAUAAGACCACAAGAACUGCGGUUCAAGGGGUCAAAGGUUUUUCGCUCUAAGAUGAGUCCGCGUAAGAUUAGCUAGUUGGUGAGGUAAUGGCUCACCAAGGCGACGAUCUUUAACUGGUCUGAGAGGAUGAUCAGUCACACUGGAACUGAGACACGGUCCAGACUCCUACGGGAGGAAGCAGUAGGGAAGAUUGCACAAUGGAGGAAACUCUGAUGCAGCGACGCCGCGUGGGUGAUGAAGGCCUUCGGGUCGUAAAGCUCUGUCGCAAGGGAAUAACACAAUGAAUGUACCUUGCAAGAAAGGAUCGGCUAACUUCGUGCCAGCCGCCGCCGUAAUAC
rnacentral:rRNA from 1 species